rnacentral:sRNA from 1 species
GCUUCUCUCUCUAAAAAUUUCAAGCCCUAACUCUCUCUGCCUUCUCUCUAAAUUUCCAGCUCUUUCAACCUUUCAAUCUUGAGUUGGAGGGUGCUCAGACGUUCAUCUCACCGAAGGCUUCCAUUUGAAUCCAUCGCAUUUUCGAUUGGACCGGGUUUGGUUGAGUUCUCAUUUGGUGAAACACCGUAAAGGAGCGUUCCUGUGAGCUUGGUAGUUCGACUCUGAGAUGUUGUUGAGGAAAUACCUCUGGAGCAAGAGCUGGAGGAGAAUGAUGCUGCUGCACAGUCUACUUAGGAUUUAGAUAUUUAAACCUUUGGAUAUUAAAUACUCUAAACUGUCUAAGUAUAAAACUCUGUAUUAUAUUUUGGAUGACUGUAAUUCCGUAUUUAAUUGCAAGUCAUACUCUAACUGUUCCCUUUGUUGGGAAUGUUGACUCCUAAAUUAUAU